rnacentral:rRNA from 1 species
GACGAACGCUGGCGGCGUGCUUAACACAUGCAAGUCGAACGGAAAGGCCUGCUUUCCCUUGUGGGUUGCGGGUACUCGAGUGGCGAACGGGUGAGUAACACGUGAGUGAUCUGCCCCCAACUUGGGUAUAAGCCUGGGAAACUGGGUCUAAUUCCCGAUAGGACUGCAGGGUGGUGCCUGUGGUGGAAAACGAUUUUCUAGUGGUUGGGGAUGAGCUCGCGGCCUAUCAGCUUGUUGGUGGGGUAAUGGCCUACCAAGGCGGCGACGGGUAGCCGGCCGGGGAGGGUGGACGGCCACAUUGGGACUGAGAUACGGCCCAGACUCCUACGGGAGGCAGCAGUGGGGAAUACUGCACAAUGGGCGGAAGCCUGAUGCAGCGACGCCGCGUGGGGGAUGACGGCCUUCGGGUUGUAAACUCCUUUCGACCGCGAGGAAGCCACCUGGUUGGAAGGGUGGUGACGGUAGUGGUAGAAGAAGCACCGGCUAACUACGUG